AUACGGAGGGUGCAAGCGUUACUCGGAAUCACUGGGCGUAAAGCGCGCGCAGGCGGUUUGAUAAGUUGGAUGUGAAAUCCUAUGGCUCAACCAUAGAACUGCAUCCAAAACUGUCAAACUAGAGUCUGGGAGAGGAAGAUGGAAUUAGUUGUGUAGGGGUAAAAUCCGUAGAGAUAACUAGGAAUACCAAAAGCGAAGGCGAUCUUCUGGAACAGUACUGACGCUGAGGCGCGAAAGCGUGGGGAGCAAACAGGAUUAGAAACCCCUGUAGUCC
rnacentral:rRNA from 1 species